rnacentral:ncRNA from 1 species
CUACGAUGCUCGCGUCGCGGCAAAAUCCGCGACCGGGUUUGGCGACCCGAUAG